rnacentral:ncRNA from 2 species
GACAGGCAAUCUGGAGAGUGCUGGCAUUAUAUCCGGCCACCGAAGGGGCACGCGGAAUAGACAAUCCGUAAUCUCUCAGGUAAAAAGGACAGAGGGGUGAGG